UGGGGAAUAUUGCACAAUGGGCGAAAGCCUGAUGCAGCAACGCCGCGUGAGUGAUGAAGGCCUUCGGGUUGUAAAGCUCUGUCUUUUGGGACGAUAAUGACGGUACCAAAGGAGGAAGCCACGGCUAACUACGUGCCAGCAGCCGCGGUAAUACGUAGGUGGCAAGCGUUGUCCGGAUUUACUGGGCGUAAAGGAUGCGUAGGCGGAUUUUUAAGUGAGAUGUGAAAACCCUAGCUAACUUGGGACUGCAUUUCAUACUGGAAAUCUAGAGUGCGGGAGAGGAGAAUGGAAUUCCUAGUGUAGCGGUGAAAUGCGUAGAGAUUAGGAAGAACACCAGUGGCGAAGGCGAUUCUCUGGACCGUAACUGACGCUGAGGCAUGAAAGCGUGGGUAGCAAACAGGAUUAGAUACCCUGGUAGUCCACGCCGUAAACGAUGAGUACUAGGUGUAGGAGGUAUCGACCCCUUCUGUGCCGCAGUUAACACAAUAAGUACUCCGCCUGGGAAGUA
rnacentral:rRNA from 1 species